rnacentral:lncRNA from 1 species
UGAGUGGUUGGGUAUAUUGAGUUCAAUUCAAGAGAAAUUCGAGUAUGUACAUAUACAACACGCAGAAAAUAAGAGCAUCUUCCACGUUUCAGCGUGUUGAAAAUGAAAGAAAAAGACACUACAUCUAACCUCUAUACUUGACGACAUCUUUGGAUUCAAAAUUAAUUAAACAUAGAAAGGAGAGUUCUAUUUGAAUAUACAUGGGACAAUGAUU